UUAGUCAUCAUCAGGACAGAUUAGUGUAAUGUUACAAAUACUGAUAUAUAUAUAUAUAUAUAUAUAUAUAUAUAUAUAUAUAUAUAUAUAUAUAUAUAUAUCAGUAUUUGUAACAUUACACUAAUCUGUCCUGAUGAUGACUAA